UCUUAGAGUUGGUUUAUUCGGCAGCAGCAGCGAAUUGCAUGGAUCUGCACGUUUGCCUCGUGCCGAACGAGUUGACAGAAAAAGUAAAUGAGCUUGGUACAAGACAUGGGGUAGGGGCAAUCGAUGGCCUUCACUUCCGCCCGCCCAAAGUACCAGUCACCCACAGAUUUCCCGAUAUCCUGCAAACGCAAGAACAACACAAUUUACAUGGACGUACCAGUGCUUGAUAUAAGCGAGUUCAAACACAGCUGGUUGCUAGCAGGUACCUUGUUUUGAAUAGCAGGAGAGCCAUUUGCGUUCCAGGUGGCAUGGUUCUCGGACUGGCCGUGAAUGAAGCAUGAGUUUAUGAAGAACCCGUUGCUGUGCUUGGAACCGGAGAAACCUUGAACAGUCGCCACCAUCUGGCCCCUGAAAGCUACACCCAUAGUAUAGUCCGAGACACGUGACACCCGAAUUCAGAUCAUCUUUUUGACCAGCAUAUGCAAGCAUCAUCGUGUGGGACGAUGCAUUGCCAAUUUUAAACUGUAUCAAUGUA